UACGGGGGGAGCGAGCGUUGUUCGGAUUUACUGGGCGUAAAGGGCGCGUAGGCGGCCAGUGCAAGUCAGUUGUGAAAUCUCCGAGCUUAACUCGGAAAGGUCAACUGAUACUGCUCGGCUAGAGUGCGGAAGGGGCAACUGGAAUUCUUGGUGUAGCGGUGAAAUGCGUAGAUAUCAAGAGGAACACCUGCGGCGAAGGCGGGUUGCUGGGCCGACACUGACGCUGAGGCGCGAAAGCUAGGGGAGCGAACGGU
rnacentral:rRNA from 1 species